rnacentral:rRNA from 1 species
UAAGUAUAAAUAGUUAACUUUGAAACUGCGAAUGGCUCAUUAUAUCAGUUAUAGUUUAUUUGAUGAAGAAUACUAAUUGGAUAACCGUAGUAAUUCUAGAGCUAAUACAUGUAUAAAGUCUUGUAGACUGCAUUUAUUAGAAUGAAAACCAUAGGUUUCGGCCUAUUCGUGAGUAAUAAUAACUAAUCAUAUCGUAUGCUUAUGUAACGAUGUGUCUUUCAAGUUUCUGCCCUAUCAGCUUUCGAU